CAGCUGACAAAUCCAGGCUGGGCGCGCUGCGAUUGGGCACCCUGGACACGUCAGUCAGGCGCGCAGGCACUUCUCACUGGUGCCAAGGCAGCCGAAGAGAAGGCUCUGGCCUUCCGCGUUCGCAGCCAAUCCUGGCAGAGCGGGGCGGGCCCCCGAGCACAGCUGUGGGUAGUAAAUACUGCACAGGCAAGAGCCGAGCCUGGAGUCAAACCGAGAGCAUUCCGAGGGAGAGGAAGGCGCGGAAAGGGCUGCUCUUUGCAGCUUGGUUCCCAAGAGGCAGGCCUGAGAAAAGAACGCAAGAAGAGCCCUGCAGGAUCAGGCCAACGAGAUUCCAUCCUGCUCUCACAGUGGCUGUGGCUACCUCACUCUUCCUGCGUGUCAACUGGACAUAGGAUGCAUCAUAUACAGUUGUCACCAUGAGUGUAACAAGUGGCUUGCCAAAGUCCCAGAAUCUUUCAGAUGCAGAACAGGACCUUCUUUUUGCGCUUGCGUAACCCAAGAAGACUAAGCACCACUGCAAAUUAAUUUGAGGCCACAGCCUCUCCAUCUGGUCGCUGAGAGUUCCACAGAGCAAUACAGAACUGUGGAAGAAAAGGCAGGAAUUCCAUGGGGAAGCCUCUAUUUGGGUUCUUUAUGAUCUAACCACUAUCCCAGCUCUUGCUGUGCAAUGUGCUUGGGCCAGUUGACUAACGUUGAGUAUGACUGAUAGCAGCUUUCAACAACAAUAGGAGAAUUACUCACCCUAAUCCCUGGAAACUUGCAACGGUCUAUGAAAGAGCCGCCUUGCUGUUUAUCAAAGGAGCCUGUAAAGUUUGAUCCGAGUGUUUUUAUAUAUUGACAAAAGCAACAAAAACUGGUGAUAACACGGAAGAUCCUGGUUUCUUCUCAAGGAUGUGGGCAAGGACACAGGAACCUCAUUCUCUCUUCCCACAGUUAACAGGAAACCAACCAUUGGGAUGCCACGCUCCUGUUUCAAAUCCACACUGUGUUCACCUCUUGUGAUGUCUGAAGAUCUCAUACAAUGCCAUCUGCAACAUGUUUCAUGGGCAGUUGGCAUAAUGGGGACUCCUGCUUUUCCUCUCAGGAAUUGGGUUAUGGUAGAAAUUUUCAUCCUGAGGGCCACAUUUCUUCCUGAUCAGCCUUUCAGAGGCCACUUUGCAUUAACUUCCCAGGGAACAAGUUUGGUUCCAUUGUUCAAUGUCUGAAAUGAAGGACCAUGCAUAUUAUUCCUCAGAUUGUACAACAGCUGCCUGCAUCUUUUGGACUCUCUUUGAGAACGUGGCUAUGGGGGCGUCACGAUGAGCUUCUGCACUUCAGAACUUACCGCUCCAUCACUGUAUUUAAAACCCCAGUUCAAGAAGCUUGAUAGCACAUGUGGUUACAUUUUCUAAGAAGAUGGUGCGGAGGUGUUUCAACAGAAGAGAGAGAGAAUGGCUCCUUGCACAUUCUUUAUUAGGAAGUGAAACCCCAUGACUUUGCUUUGAGGUAGAGCGAAAUCAAAUUGCUUGUUGGAAAAUAAGAAAGUGUCAAAGGAGCAUGGCCAAUUGAUGCUGAUGUGAAGCAAGCCUGUCUUUUUUCUUCAGUUGCCUUUUCUUCUUCUGAUAUUUUGUUUAAUGUUCUCUGUCAGCAUCUUUCGGAGAGAGAUGGAUCAAAUUGGCGGAGAUUGUUUAUCUGCAGAGGGCUAGCAUAGGGUACCUCCAUAUAUCCACAGAUGGUCCAAGACAUUGUGGUGCUUGAGGAGGAAAAUCAAGAUGGCACCCCAGUAAGAAAAUAAAAACAUAUCUUUUACUUGGGAUGGUUUUAGGCUAUUCUUGCUUGUUCCUUAGCUAUUGCUGUUUUGUUUCUGCUUUUAAGAUAAAUCUUUCUUAUCCUAAAAUAUAAUUCACAUUGUUCAUCUCCACACAAAAGAGACUAGAAAUCAACAACUUCUCCCUAGGCCUCAUGCUAAAUUCACUCCCCCCUCUUACACACACACACAC